rnacentral:rRNA from 1 species
GGUUUCCUCUGGGGUAAGUGAUUGCUUCUACACUGUGAAAAUUUGGCUGAGAGACUCAGACUGGUCAUGGGUAGACCUAUCUGGGGUUUGAUCGAUGCCACUCCUGGUUUCAGGAGCACCCUUCAUAAUAAACCUAGAAAUUCAGUAUUAUAAAGUUUAAUAAAAAACAACUUUUAACAAUGGAUCUCUUGGUUCUCGCAUCGAUGAAGAACGUAGCAAAGUGCGAUAACUAGUGUGAAUUGCAUAUUCAGUGAAUCAUCGAGUCUUUGAACGCAGCUUGCACUCUAUGGUUUUUCUAUAGAGUACGCCUGCUUCAGUAUCAUCACAAACCCACACAUAACAUUUGUUUAUGUGGUGAUGGGUCGCAUCGCUGUUUUAUUACAGUGAGCACCUAAAAUGUGUGUGAUUUUCUGUCUGGCUUGCUAGGCAGGAAUAUUACGCUGGUCUCAGGAUCUUUUUUUUUGGUUCGCCCAGGAAGUAAAGUACAAGAGUAUAAUCCAGUAACUUUCAAACUAUGAUCUGAAGUCAGGUGGGAUUACCCGCUGAACUUAAGCAUAUCAAUAAGCGGAGGAAAAGAAAAUAACAAUGAUUUCCCUAGUAACGGCGAGUGAAGAGGAAAGAGCUCAAAGUUGGAACCUGUUUGGCCUAGCUAAACCGGAUUGUAGACUGUAGAAGUGUUUUCCAGGCAAGCCGAGUAAAUAAGUCCUUUGGAACAGGGCAUCAUAGAGGGUGAGAAUCCCGUCUUUGGCUUGAGCAUUUGCCUUUUGUGAUACGCUUUCAAAGAGUCAGGUUGUUUGGGAAUGCAGCCUAAAUUGGGUGGUAAAUCUCACCUAAAGCUAAAUAUUGGCGAGAAACCGAUAGCGAACAAGUACCGUGAGGGAAAGAUGAAAAGAACUUUGAAAAGAGAGUUAAACAGUAUGUGAAAUUGUUAAAAGGGAACCGUUUGGAGCCAGACUGGCUUGUCUGUAAUCAAUCUAGGCUUCGGCCUGGAUGCACUUGCAGGCUAUGCCUGCCAACGACAAUUUGACUUGAGGGAAAAAACUAAGGGAAAUGUGGCCCACUUGUGGGUGUUAUAGUCCCUUAGAAAAUACCUUGGGUUGGAUUGAGGAACGCAGCGAAUGCUUUUUGGCGAGUUUUCCAGGAAGGUUUUCUGAGGUACUACGGUAUCAAGGUUGAUC